rnacentral:rRNA from 1 species
GGAAUCUUCGGCAAUGGGGGCAACCCUGACCGAGCAACGCCGCGUGAGUGAAGAAGGUUUUCGGAUCGUAAAGCUCUGUUGUUAGAGAAGAAUGGAAGUAGGAGUGGAAAGUCUACUUCGUGACGGUAACUAACCAGAACGGGACGGCUAACUACGUGCCAGCAGCCGCGGUAAUACGUAGGUCCCGAGCGUUGUCCGGAUUUAUUGGGCGUAAAGCGAGCGCAGGCGGUUCUAUAAGUCUGAAGUUAAAGGCAGUGGCUCAACCAUUGUGCGCUUUGGAAACUGUAGAACUUGAGUGCAGAAGGGGAGAGUGGAAUUCCAUGUGUAGCGGUGAAAUGCGUAGAUAUAUGGAGGAACACCGGUGGCGAAAGCGGCUCUCUGGUCUGUAACUGACGCUGAGGCUCGAAAGCGUGGGGAGCAA